UACGAAGGGGGGCUAGCGUUGCUCGGAAUUACUGGGCGUAAAGCGCAUGUAGGCGGCUUUCUAAGUCGGGGGUGAAAUCCUGGAGCUCAACUCCAGAACUGCCUUCGAUACUGGAGAGCUCGAGUCCGGGAGAGGUGAGUGGAACUCCGAGUGUAGAGGUGAAAUUCGUAGAUAUUCGGAAGACCACCAGUGGCGAAGGCGGCUUGCCAGAAUGCGCUCGACGGUGAGGGAUGAAAGCUGGGGGAGCAAACCGGG
rnacentral:rRNA from 1 species